GACGAACGCUGGCGGCGUGCUUAACACAUGCAAGUCGAACGGUGAAGGAGAGCUUGCUCUCCGGAUCAGUGGCGAACGGGUGAGUAACACGUGGGCAACCUGCCCCAGACUUCGGGAUAACGCUUCGAAAGAGGUGCUAAUACCGGAUACGAACUCCUUGGGCAUCCUUGGAGUUGGAAAGUUUUUCGGUCCGGGAUGGGCCCGCGGCCUAUCAGCUUGUUGGUGGGGUAACGGCUCGCCAAGGCGACGACGGGUAGCCGGCCUGAGAGGGCGACCGGCCACGCUGGGACUGAGACACGGCCCAGACUCCUACGGGAGGCAGCAGUGGGGAAUAUUGCGCAAUGGGCGAAAGCCUGACGCAGCAACGCCGCGUGAGGGAUGACGGCCUUCGGGUUGUAAACCUCUUUCAGCAGGGAAGAAGCGAAAGUGACGGUACCUGCAGAAGAAGCACCGGCUAACUACGUGCCAGCCGCCGCCGUAACAC
rnacentral:rRNA from 1 species